UGUUGGAGAAGGAGACUUCUUUAGUACCGCAGCUAACGAGUGAAGUUCGCCGCCUGGGGAGUACGGUCGCAAGAUUAAAACUCAAAGGAAUUGACGGGGACCCGCACAAACGGUGGAUGAUGUGGAUUAAUUCGAUGCAACGCGAAAAACCUUACCUACCCUUGACAUGCCUGGAAUCCUGAAGAGAUUUGGGAGUGCCCGAAAGGGAACCGGGACACAGGUGCUGCAUGGCUGUCGUCAGCUCGUGUCGUGAGAUGUUGGGUUAAGUCCCGCAACGAGCGCAACCCUUGUCGCUAAUUGCCAUCAUUUAGUUGGGCACUUUAGCGAGACUGACGGUGACAAACCGGAGGAAGGUGGGGAUGACGUCAAGUCCUCAUGGCCCUUAUGGGUAGGGCUUCACACGUCAUACAAUGGUCGGUACAGAGGGUCGCCAACCCGCGAGGGGGAGCCAAUCCCAGAAAGCCGAUCGUAGUCCGGAUUGGAGUCUGCAACUCGACUCCAUGAAGUCGGAAUCGCUAGUAAUCGUGGAUCAGCAUGCCACGGUGAAUACGUUCCCGGGUCUUGUACACACCGCCCGUCACACCAUGGGAGUGGGUUUCACCAGAAGUAGUUAGCCUAACCGCAAGGGGGGUGAUUACCA
rnacentral:rRNA from 1 species